AAGCUCCGUGCCGAACUGUCCCCUCAGGGGGUGCGUUCCCGAAAGGGAUAGGCCGGAGCUUCUUC
rnacentral:ncRNA from 1 species